rnacentral:tRNA from 1 species
AGGAUUUUAGCUUAAUCAAAGUAUCUGAAUUGCAUUCAGGGGAUGUGAGGUAGUGUCUUGCAAGUCUUA